rnacentral:rRNA from 1 species
GACGAACGCUGGCGGCGUGCUUAACACAUGCAAGUCAAACGGAAAGGCCCUGCUUUUGUGGGGUGCUCGAGUGGCGAACGGGUGAGUAACACGUGAGUAACCUGCCCUUGACUUUGGGAUAACUUCAGGAAACUGGGGCUAAUACCGGAUAGGAGCUCCUGCUGCAUGGUGGGGGUUGGAAAGUUUCGGCGGUUGGGGAUGGACUCGCGGCUUAUCAGCUUGUUGGUGGGGUAGUGGCUUACCAAGGCUGUGACGGGUAGCCGGCCUGAGAGGGUGACCGGCCACAUUGGGACUGAGAUACGGCCCAGACUCCUACGGGAGGCAGCAGUGGGGAACAUUGCACAAUGGGCGGAAGCCUGAUGCAGCAACGCCGCGUGCGGGAUGACGGCCUUCGGGUUGUAAACCGCUUUCGCCUGUGACGAAGCGUGAGUGACGGUAAUGGGUAAAGAAGCACCGGCUAACUACGUG